rnacentral:rRNA from 1 species
GACGAACGCUGGCGGCGUGCUUAACACAUGCAAGUCGAACGGAAAGGCCCUGCGUUUGCGGCGUGCUCGAGUGGCGAAGGGGUGAGUAACACGUGAGUAACCUGCCCUUGACUUAUUGAUAACUUCUGGAAACUGGGGCUAAUACCGCAGAGGAGCUCCUGCUGCAUGGUGGUGGUUGGAAAGUUUCGGCGGUUGGGGAUGGAAUCGAGGCUUAUCAGCUUGUUGGUGAGGUAGUGGCUGACCACGGCUAUGACGGCUACCCGGCCUGAGAGGGUUACCGGCCACAUGGGGACUGAGCUAGGGCCCAGACUCCUAUGGGAGGCAGCAGUCGGGAAUAUUGCACAAUGAGGGGAAGCCUGAUGCAGCAAAGCAGGGUGCGGGAUGCCGGCUUUCGGGUUGUAAACCGCUUUCGCCUGUGACGAGGCGGGAGUGACGGUAAUGGGUAAAGAAGCACCGGCUAACUACGUG